AGGUCUGGAGAAAAAGAGCUUAAUGCAAACUUGUCCAACCCGUGGCCCACAGGCCUCAUGCAACCCAGGAUGGCUUUGAAUGCAGCCCAACACAACAGAAGAAGACUCCGUCUCAAAAAAAAAAAAAAAAGGAAAAUCAAAGGAAGAAGUCAGACUAAGGAUGAGAGAAAGGUGCUGAACUAAUGUUUACUUGGAAAUGAUGUUGGUACAUCCAAAUGGGAAUGAUGAGGAAGCAGAUGGAGAGGUUCACCCGGAGCCUAGGAGAAAGGCCAGGGCUGUUGCUCUUGGUUUGGGAGUCCCAUACAUAAAGAUGCUACAUUCUACCCCUUGCCAAAGCUUUAGAAAGGUGUGAGGCUCAGUGAUCGAGAUGCACUUUCUUUUUAAGCCAUGCUUUAAAAUUCUGUCACUGGCUUUGAUGGUCUAUUAAUAUGCCAAUUACAGAUAUGUUUUGACCUAAGUUUCUUCAAUUUGAACUUUCCAGGCUCUAUUACAAAAUGUAUCAAGCAAUAAAUGAGUACUAUCAUAUAUAUGUGAUUCACCCCCAUUUGGAAUUGCAAAUUAAGAGUUUUUUGCAGCUGGGUAUGCAACCUGAUAAAAACCCUCUGCUGCUUUGAAAUCUGGUUGAAAUGAGAAAAAGCAUUUUCUGUUUUUACAUUUGAGAACAAAAGAAAGUCUAGUUUAUGUCCAAACUAUGUUGGCUCUAUAUAUCUCUGUUGAAAUUGGUUGGUGAUGUUGCCUUACUGGUUGUUAAGAACAUUGGCUAUCACCCCUGCUCCUAUGCUCCCAAAAACUCCAGAAUAAUAUUGUGUGCAAUCCCUGUGUAAACACCAAUUUUAUUUUAUUUUAUUUUUAUUGCUAUAACCCAUUGUUUUUAUAUAUAUAUAUCCAGCUGCUGGGUCUUAGCCAUAGUGCAGCAGCCGAGCUGGCUGCUUAACUCAAAUACUCUGAGCACAUUGGAACAAGGUAAUAUGCCCUUAACCAUUCAUUUUUAGAAUAAUUCUGAAGCACUAUUCAGCUCAACAAAUGAGUUAUUGAAUGUCUGAUAUCUGCAUGGCACUGGAAGAGAUAUUAGGGAGGUAAGACUAGGAAGGUAGACCGGGCCCUCAAAUGCCAAGUGAGGGAAGUUGGACUUUAUCAAAGGCUUCUGAACAAGGGAAUAUUUUAUUAGUUUUAGUAAAUUUAGUACAAUAAUUUUUUUCAUAAUAUUUAGAAUGGACUGGAAUGGCACAAAACCAACAUGAUAUAUAGAAACUGGACUGUUCCAUAUUGACAAAAGUACCCACUAAAGUCCUAUAUUUAAUACAUGUAAGUUAUUAGGUGGCAUUUUGCAGUCGUUGGGAACAUAAGCUCUGAAAUCAGACUACACGGGCUUGAAUCCUGGCUUUACCACUAUACUAGCUGUGCAGCCAUGGGUAAGUUUUUGAACCUCACUGUGCUUCAAUUUCCUUAUCCAUAAAAUGGGGAUAACAAUGGUCUACUUCAUAGAGUGUUUGUGAGGAGUAAGUGAAAUAACUCCUGAUGUUUAGAACAGUGCUUGGCAUAGGAUAGAAACUCAUAAAUGUGAGCUACUAUGUUAAGAUAAGGGGGA
rnacentral:lncRNA from 1 species